AGAACGAACGCUGGCGGCAUGCCUAACACAUGCAAGUCGAACGAGACCUUCGGGUCUAGUGGCGCACGGGUGCGUAACGCGUGGGAAUCUGCCCUUGGGUUCGGAAUAACAGCGAGAAAUUGCUGCUAAUACCGGAUGAUGACGUAAGUCCAAAGAUUUAUCGCCCAAGGAUGAGCCCGCGUAGGAUUAGCUUGUUGGUGAGGUAAGAGCUCACCAAGGCGACGAUCCUUAGCUGGUCUGAGAGGAUGAUCAGCCACACUGGGACUGAGACACGGCCCAGACUCCUACGGGAGGCAGCAGUGGGGAAUAUUGACAAUGGAGAAAGCUGAU
rnacentral:rRNA from 1 species